GUGCUUGCUUCGGCAGCACAUAUACUGAAAUUGGAACAAUACCGAGAAGAUUAGCAUGGUCCCUGCACAAGGAUGACACACAAAUUCAUGAAGGGUUCUAUAUUUUU